rnacentral:rRNA from 1 species
GACGAACCGAGCGAACGUUGUUCGGAAUCACUGGGCUUAAAGGGCGCGUAGGCGGGCUGACAAGUCUGGGGUGAAAUCCCGCGGCUCAACCGUGGAACUGCCUUAGAUACUGUCGGCCUCGAGGAAGGUAGGGGCGUGCGGAACUGUAGGUGGAGCGGUGAAAUGCGUUGAUAUCAAGAGGAACACCUGCGGCGAAGGCGGGUUGCUGGGCCGACACUGACGCUGAUGCGCGAAAGCCAGGGGAGCGAACGGG